AUUUUCUGGUAAUCGCGGGCUAUUUUUAUAGUCUGAGGAAAGUCCAAGCUUGCACAGGCUGCGAUGCCUGUAGUGAUCGUACUUGCUGAAAAAAUAAGGCAAGGCACCAUUAUGGUGACGGCAGACAAAAGAGCUAAGGUUUUUACUAUGCUUAAGUAGUCUUGAAAAGUGCCACAGAGACGAGGAGGAAUGGAAACAUUCCUAAGUGGAACGAGGUAAACCCUGCGAGCAGGUAACCCAAACUUUGGUAGGGGCGCUUCAUGACGGAAAUGAACUAAUCAUGGGGGCGAAUAUCCUAGUGGUAUUCGGAGAUAGAUGAUUACCACCGAUUCUAGCUUCCUGGGCUGGAUGACGUACGGAACGUGGCUUAUAGAG
rfam:Lactobacillus saerimneri 30a contig00023, whole genome shotgun sequence.